rnacentral:lncRNA from 1 species
GUGCUUUGUUGAAUGUUGCCACCAAACAGGUACCCUCUCCUCCCCUAUCAAUCUCAUAAUGACUUGUCACAAACACACUCCCCCAAGAGGGAGCAGGGUGGACCUGAGGAAGUCCUUCAAAUCUGGGUGCAGAGGACACAGACCAGAAAGGCUCCCUCCUCAAGCCUCAGCACUGGAGACGGCCCCACCAGGACCAGGCCAGGUCAGGAGGCUCCCUGGCCCAGGUAGGGACAGGUAACCCUGCCCAUGAGGCUGAAUGCACAGAGCUGCAGCGCCACCUACUGUCCACCUGGAAGAGACCAUCAGUCCCAGGAGAUUGGCUUUGACCUCCCUCCCAGUGGAUUGAAAUAUGACAAGGGAUUCGGAAAUCUUGCCUACUGCCCAACUUCUGCCCUCCCUAGGCCUUUCCA